CGAGCGCCAGCGGGAGAGCGUUGCCGCAGGCAACGACCCGAAGGGCGAAGCGCGCAGCGCUGAGUAAUCCUUCCCCCACCACCA
rnacentral:sRNA from 1 species